UUUUGAAAAUUAAAAAUUUUUAAAGCUCUUUUUCUUAAAACAUAUAAAAAGCAAGAAUUUUCCAAAGCAAUUGAAAGGAAUAUCAAUAGCAUUCCGAUGGAUAACAAGUCCUUGAGUGCGAAACAUCAGAGGUUUCCCAAGCAGUUAACCCUUCGGGUAUCCCUAGACGACUGUGUUGAUUCAGUUCCUCAGCGGAAUUUUUGAUACCCCAGUAGAGCUUCAUUCCUUUUUCUUAGCUGAGUUG
rnacentral:lncRNA from 1 species